GCCCCCGUAGCUCAGGGGAUAGAGCGUGAGUUUCCUAAACUCUGCGUCGCAGGUUCGAGUCCUGCCGGGGGUA
rnacentral:tRNA from 3 species